rnacentral:rRNA from 1 species
UACGUAGGGGGCUAGCGUUAUCCGGAUUUAUUGGGCGUAAAGAGCGUGUAGGCGGCCAGGUAGGUCCGUUGUGAAAACUCGAGGCUCAACCUCGAGACGUCGGCGGAAACCCUCUGGCUAGAGUCCGGAAGAGGAGAGUGGAAUUCCUGGUGUAGCGGUGAAAUGCGCAGAUAUCAGGAAGAACACCCGUGGCGAAGGCGGCUCUCUGGGACGGUACUGACGCUGAGACGCGAAAGCGUGGGGAGCAAACAGG